rnacentral:misc_RNA from 1 species
UCACAGCUUGCGCCGGCAGUCCCGCCAGAGUUCCCGGCUUUACCCGUUGGCAACUGGCGGUAGGGGUUGCGCUCGUUAUGGCACUUAAGCCGACACCUCACGGCACGAGCUGACGACAACCAUGCAGCACCUCGCAGGAGACUCCGUAGAGCUGCCUCCUUUCAAAAACAUCCCUCCUGCGUUUGAGCCCGGGUAAGGUUCCUCGCGUAUCAUCGAAUUAAACCACAUGUUCCUCCGCUUGUGCGGGCCCCCGUCAAUUCCUUUGAGUUUCACCGUUGCCGGCGUACUCCCCAGGUGGAAUACUUAACGCUUUCGCUGUAUCACGCACUCCUCAUUCGGAGCACACAAUUAGUAUUCAUCGUUUACUGCGUGGACUAC